UAGAUGUUAGUAAAAUAUUACAAAGCUUUGUCAUAGCUUAGUUGCUAGUAAAUCUAGCACACCUAU
rnacentral:tRNA from 1 species